rnacentral:lncRNA from 1 species
CAACCCCACUCCUGUCAGCAAACAUCUAUGAGUGGUUGUAAUGCAAAGAGGGAUACAUCGCUGCAGUCCGUAGGAAACAAGGUAACAGCAAGUUGUCAAGAUACCACCGACCACGACGGAAAACGCAUUUACUGGCGGGAGUUUACCGCUGAGGCGGCGGAUGGAUGAUGAGGAGGAGGACAUGUCACGGCCCAUCUCGCAGCUCUGGGGAACGCCCUGUAGGGACGUUAAAGACCGACCCACACCGAUCUCAGCCGGACGGGUUCUCACUGCCGUCACAGGUGCUGCCGUGUCCGCGCCGCCGCCGCAAACUCACAACAACAACAUCAUCAGCAGCACCAUGCCCUGCAGUCUACACCGGCACCCUCGCAUACCUUUUCACGGCAACGCUGGAUUGCGCUCACAUUUUCCCGCUCAGUUUGAGCCCAUGGAGGACCGGGGAGAGAGGCAGAUUGAAGACGAGGAGGAGG